UACGUAGGGGGCUAGCGUUGUUCGGAUUUACUGGGCGUAAAGCGCGCGCAGGCGGUCCUUCAAGUCAGGGGUGGAAAGCCCAGACGCUCAACUCUGGAACUGCCUUUGAGACUGUAGGACUUGGGUAUGGGAGAGGUGAGUGGGAAUUCCGAGUGUAGAGGUGAAAUUCGUAGAUAUUCGGAAGAACACCAGUGGCGAAGGCGGCUCACUGGCCCAUUACCGACGCUCAGGCGCGAUAGCGUGGGGAGCAAAC
rnacentral:rRNA from 1 species